rnacentral:rRNA from 1 species
UGUUCGGGUUGUCAUGCCAAUGGCACUGCCCGGUAGCUAAAUGCGGAAGAGAUAAGUGCAGAAAGCAUCUAAGCACGAAACGUGCCCCGAGAUGAGUUAUCCCUGAGACUUUAAGUCUCCUGAAGGAACGUUGAAGACGACGACGUUGAUAGGCCGGGUGUGUAAGCGCAGCGAUGCGUUGAGCUAACCGGUACUAAUGAACCGUGAGGCUUAACCUU